GCCCAUUUAUUCUUUGGCAUAAAGUUUGUCCAGUAUAGAGAGCUGAAGGGCACUGUUGGCAUUUGAUAGCAUAUAUAAUGUUGGAAGAUGAACAAUUAAAUAGGCCUGAGAUGGUUUAUGGAUGCAAAGAAAUUGCAAUGGAAGAUACCGGUAAUCUUUUUUUUCCUUGCUAGACAGUAAACAAGGAACAGGGAAAGACAAAGCUGAGGGAUUCAAGGGCAUACUGAACUUGUGCAGUUAAAGGGGAUUAAAGUGCCGUGUCGCCCUAGCACAGGGGUAGUCAAUGUGGUGCCCUUCAGGUGCCCUUGGACUACACUUCCCAUCAUCCCUGACUGGCAGUUGGAGUCCAAAGCCACAUUGGAUGCCCCUGCCCUGGCACAACAAAUCCACUUUAAAAAGAAACAGACUCUUCACUGUUUGGAAAGUGUGGGAACAACUGACCAUCCAGAGGCUGUAUAAACACCAUGCAAGCAAUUCAAGAUGAAUGCAGGACGAAUGCCUGUUAUAACCACCUCACAAACAAAUCAGAAUGAAAACUCAAUAAAGAACGGAUAUAACCUAACCUCUGCAGAAGCUGUAUUCAGGUAAAUCAGGGUAAUUGCUCUAUAAAGAGGAUGUCGGGAGA